AGCGGGUGAAAAGCCCGCUCGCCGGAAGACCAAGGGUUCCUGUCCAACGUUAAUCGGGGCAGGGUGAGUCGACCCCUAAGGCGAGGCCGAAAGGCGUAGUCGAUGGGAAACGGGUUAAUAUUCCCGUACUUGGUGUUACUGCGAAGGGGGGACGGAGAAGGCUAUGUUGGCCGGGCGACGGUUGUCCCGGUUUAAGCGUGUAGGUGUGUGUUCCAGGUAAAUCCGGUUCACUUUAACACUGAGGCGUGAYGACGAGGCACUACGGUGCUGAAGCAACAAAUGCCCUGCUUCCAGGAAAAGCCUCUAAGCAUCAGGUAACAUCAAAUCGUACCCCAAACCGACACAGGUGGUCAGGUAGAGAAUACCAAGGCGCUUGAGAGAACUCGGGUGAAGGAACUAGGCAAAAUGGUGCCGUAACUUCGGGAGAAGGCACGCUGACAYGUAGGUGAAGUGAUUUACUCAUGGAGCUGAAGUCAGUCGAAGAUACCAGCUGGCUGCAACUGUUUAUUAAAAACACAGCACUGUGCAAACACGAAAGUGGACGUAUACGGUGUGACGCCUGCCCGGUGCCGGAAGGUUAAUUGAUGGGGUCAGCGCAAGCGAAGCUCCUGAUCGAAGCCCCGGUAAACGGCGGCCGUAACUAUAACGGUCCUAAGGUAGCGAAAUUCCUUGUCGGGUAAGUUCCGACCUGCACGAAUGGCGUAAUGAUGGCCAGGCUGUCUCCACCCGAGACUCAGUGAAAUUGAACUCGCUGUGAAGAUGCAGUGUACCCGCGGCAAGACGGAAAGACCCCGUGAACCUUUACUAUAGCUUGACACUGAACAUUGAGCCUUGAUGUGUAGGAUAGGUGGGAGGCUUUGAAGUGUGGACGCCAGUCUGCAUGGAGCCGACCUUGAAAUACCACCCUUUAAUGUUUGAUGUUCUAACGUGGACCCGURAUCCGGGUUGCGGACAGUGUCUGGUGGGUAGUUUGACUGGGGCGGUCUCCUCCUAAAGAGUAACGGAGGAGCACGAAGGUUGGCUAAUCCUGGUCGGACAUCAGGAGGUUAGUGCAAUGGCAUAAGCCAGCUUGACUGCGAGCGUGACGGCGCGAGCAGGUGCGAAAGCAGGUCAUAGUGAUCCGGUGGUUCUGAAUGGAAGGGCCAUCGCUCAACGGAUAAAAGGUACUCCGGGGAUAACAGGCUGAUACCGCCCAAGAGUUCAUAUCGACGGCGGUGUUUGGCACCUCGAUGUCGGCUCAUCACAUCCUGGGGCUGAAGUAGGUCCCAAGGGUAUGGCUGUUCGCCAUUUAAAGUGGUACGCGAGCUGGGUUUAGAACGUCGUGAGACAGUUCGGUCCCUAUCUGCCGUGGGCGCUGGAGAACUGAGGGGGGCUGCUCCUAGUACGAGAGGACCGGAGUGGACGCAUCACUGGUGUUCGGGUUGUCAUGCCAAUGGCACUGCCCGGUAGCUAAAUGCGGAAGAGAUAAGUGCUGAAAGCAUCUAAGCACGAAACUUGCCCCGAGAUGAGUUCUCCCUGAGACUUAGAGUCUCCUGAAGGAACGUUGAAGACGACGACGUUGAUAGGCCGGGUGUGUAAGCGCAGCGAUGCGUUGAGCUAACCGGUACUAAUGAACCGUGAGGCUUAACCUU
rnacentral:rRNA from 1 species